UCCUCGUUCUUGUAGGGCGUCAUCACGAAAAACGUUGGGGUGUGAUUGUCACAUGCAUGACAACCAGGGCAAUUCAUAUCGAGCUAGCUGCAUCGUUGAGUACAAGCUCUUGCAUUAUGGCGCUAAGGAAUUGCUUCGCACGUCGUGGGACCCCUGUUGAGAUCAGAAGCGAUCGCGGAACGAAUUUCGUGGGCGCGGAAAAAGAACUUAAGGCUGCGGUAGCAUUUUUGGACAUAGAAAAACUAAUGACUGAAUUCACCACACCAACAACUUCCUGGCGGUUCAAUCCGCCUGCGUCUCCACACAUGGGCGGCUGCUGGGAGCGUCUUAUUCAGUCGGUGAAGAAAGUGCUUGCAAUCAUUAAACCUCAACGAAUACCUACUGAAGAGGUGCUACGCAGUUACUUGAUUCAGGUGGAAAACACUAUCAACAGCCGACCUCUAACACAUGUACCGGUGGAUGACUAUUCUUCGCCGGCUCUUACACCAAACCAUUUUCUGGUAGGAUCGUCGAAUGGGUCCAAACCUUUGGUCCCUUACACCGAUUAUCCGCUUGAACUUCGGAAGUCAUGGAAAGCAUCGGAUACAUUAGCAAAUCGCUUCUGGCAACGUUGGGUAGCCGAGUACUUGCCUACAAUAACACGUCGUUCUAAAUGGUUCUACCCUGUGAGACCAAUAGCUGUCGGGGACGUCGUCGUUAUAGCUGAUCCGGAGUUGGUAAGGAACUGUUGGCCGAAAGGACGAGUGGUUUCGGUGAAGACAUCAUCAGACGGUCAAGUGCGUUCUGCGGUAGUACAGACUUCUUCUGGACUCUACGACAGACCUGCGGUUAAGAUUGCUGUAUUGGACGUAGGUGCAGACGAAAGUGAGUUGGACCAGGACCCAACCACUGGGGGGGACUGUUGCGUACGCCCUUUGCGUAACAACGCACCUACUACAACACCGAUAUGAAUAGCAUACCUUUAAUCGCCGUACACGAUACGAUGACAGAUAUAGAUAAUUGCCAUGCACUGUUACGGAUAGAAUAGAGUGAGAAGUCGAAAAGAUAUACUGAAUUGAACCAUACUGUCGUUUUCUGAUUGUUCGCUAAAAUUGUUGCUCGGAAAGUAUAUUUUUUCAGUUAACAACUCCUAAGUUAAUACCACUUGAAUUUCAAAACCUAGAAUAGUUUUUUCUACAGAAUCUAUAGUGAAUUAUUAAGAUUCUAUAGUGGUUAUCAUGCCAGAAGAUCGUUCAUAGUUUCGUUCCUUUCGUUUCGAUACUUACGAGUUAUAACUAAGAACUAGAUUUGGCUAUACGACCCUAAUCGGUGUCAAUCGAUCGUUACGUAGAAAACCAAGGAAACGUACAAACGAAAAUUUUAAUCGUGUCCCGCAUAUUCGCGCCAUAAUAAACCGAUUGAAGAUUACGGAAAAGCGUUUCAUUCGUUGCAUGAGCAACA